UACGGGGGGGGGCAAGCGUUGUUCGGAAUUACUGGGCGUAAAGGGCUCGUAGGCGGCCAACUAAGUCAGACGUGAAAUCCCUCGGCUUAACCGGGGAACUGCGUCUGAUACUGGAUGGCUUGAGUUCGGGAGAGGGAUGCGGAAUUCCAGGUGUAGCGGUGAAAUGCGUAGAUAUCUGGAGGAACACCGGUGGCGAAGGCGGCAUCCUGGACCGACACUGAUACUGAGGAGCGAAAGCCAGGGGAGCAAACGGG
rnacentral:rRNA from 1 species